UACGGAGGGUGCAAGCGUUGUCCGGAAUCACUGGGCGUAAAGGGCGCGUAGGCGGCUCGGUAAGUAGGGGGUGAAAUCCUGCGGCUUAACCGCAGGGCUGCCUUCUAAACUGUCGAGCUCGAGCACGGUAGAGGCAGGUGGAAUUCCCGGUGUAGCGGUGGAAUGCGUAGAGAUCGGGAAGAACAUCAGUGGCGAAGGCGGUCUGCUGGGCCGUUGCUGACGCUGAGGCGCGACAGCGUGGGGAGCAAACAGG
rnacentral:rRNA from 1 species